rnacentral:tRNA from 1 species
UGGUGUAACGGUUGCACACUCGACUCGUAUUCGAGAGAUCCAGGUUCGAGUCCCGG